GCUGGGCGUGGUGGCAUAUGCCUGUAAUCCCAGCUACUUGGGAAGCUGAGGCAGGAGAAUCGCUUGAACCCAGGAGGCAGAGGUUGCAGUGAGCUGAGAUCAUGCCACUGCACUCCAGCCUGGGUAACAGAGCAAGACUCUGUCUCAA
rnacentral:SRP_RNA from 1 species